AUUGAACGCUGGCGGCAGGCUUAACACAUGCAAGUCGAGCGAGCGGCGGACGGGUGAGUAAUGUCUGGGAAACUGCCUGAUGGAGGGGGAUAACUACUGGAAACGGUAGCUAAUACCGCAUACCAUCAGAUGUGCCCAGAUGGGAGUAGCUCGUGGGUGGGGUAAGGGCUGACCUAGGCGACGAUCCCUAGCUGGUCUGAGAGGAUGACCAACCACACUGGAGCUGAGAAACGGUCCAGACUCCGACGGGAGGCAGCAGUGGGGAAUAUUGCACAAUGGGCGCAAGCCUGAUGCAGCCAUGCCGAGUGAGUGAAGAAGGCCGUCGGGUUGUAAAGCACUUUCAGCGAGGAGGCGUUACUCGCAGAAGAAGCACCGGCUAACUCCGUGCCAGCAGCCGCGGUAAUAC
rnacentral:rRNA from 1 species